rnacentral:rRNA from 1 species
ACGAACGCUGGCGGCGUGCUUAACCCCUGCAAGUCGAACGGAAAGGCCCUGCUUUUGUGGGGUGCUCGAGUGGCGAACGGGUGAGUAACACGUGAGUAACCUGCCCUUGACUUUGGGAUAACUUCAGGAAACUGGGGCUAAUACCGGAUAGGAGCUCCUGCUGCAUGGUGGGGGUUGGAAAGUUUCGGCGGUUGGGGAUGGACUCGCGGCUUAUCAGCUUGUUGGCGGGGUAGUGGCUUACCAAGGCUUUGACGGGUAGCCGGCCUGAGAGGGUGACCGGCCACAUUGGGACUGAGAUACGGCCCAGACUCCUACGGGAGGCAGCAGUGGGGAAUAUUGCACAAUGGGCGGAAGCCUGAUGCGGCAACGCCGCGUGCGGGAUGACGGCCUUCGGGUUGUAAACCGCUUUCGCCUGUGACGAAGCGUGAGUGACGGUAAUGGGUAAAGAAGCACCGGCUAACUACGUG